rnacentral:rRNA from 1 species
UACUAGAGUAGCACUCGCAUAUCAAUAAGCGGAGGAAAAGAAACUAACAAGGAUUCCCCUAGUAACGGCGAGUGAAGCGGGAAGAGCUCAAAUUUGAAAUCUUAAAGGGUUUCCCUUUACGAAUUGUAGUUUAAAGAAGUGUUUUCUGUUGAGGUUUUGGUAAAAGUUCUUUGGAAUAGGACAUCAUAGAGGGUGAGAAUCCCGUAUUUGACCUUUACUUUCAACUUUGUGAUACACUUUCAAAGAGUCGGAUUGUUUGGGAAUGCAGUCCAAAAUGGGUGGUAAAUUUCAUCUAAAGCUAAAUAUUGGCGAGAGACCGAUAGCGAACAAGUACCGUGAGGGAAAGAUGAAAAGAACUUUGAAAAGAGAGUUAAACAGUACGUGAAAUUGUCAAAAGGGAAGCGUUUGACACCAGUGUUGUUUUUCUGAAAAUCAAUUAAAGAACUGUUUAUGCUAAGUUGUUUAGACUUUAUCAGCUAUCUGCUUAGUUUUGAGCUUUUCUUUAAUGCACUUUUCAGUUAACAAGUCAACAUCAAUUUCUUUUGCUGUAAAAAAGCUUGAGGAAGGUGGCUUGAGAUUCGUCUUAAGUGUUUAUAGCCUCUUGCCUAUGCAGUCGGAGAGAUUGAGGUCUGCAGCGUAGAUCCUUCGGGGCUAAAUGCAUUUGUGCUAAGUUAUAGCAUUUUAUAGACAACUUGUUGACUAUGAUUUGUCUUGUAGCUUACUCGCUUAUGUUAUUUUACCUACGCUUAGGAUGUUGAACUACUGAGACAUAG